rnacentral:misc_RNA from 1 species
GUGAGUCAUCGAAUCUUUGAACGCACAUUGCGCCCCUUGGUAUUCCGGGGGGCAUGCCUGUUCGAGCGUCAUUACAACCCUCAAGCUCUGCUUGGUAUUGGGCUCCGUCCUCCACGGACGCGCCUCAAAGACCUCGGCGGUGGCGUCUUGCCUCAAGCGUAGUAGAAAACACCUCGCUUUGGAGUGCAGGGCGUCGCCCGCCGGACGAACCUUUGAAUAUUUUCUCAAGGUUGACCUCGGAUCAGGUAGGGAUACCCGCUGAACUUAAGCAUAUCAAUAAGCGGAGGA